AAAGAACAUUAACUGAGUAGAUUUGGUUUUGCUUGUUCCUCUAAAUCUGUUUUUGCUGGGAAACCUCUUAAUGCAUCAUUGGAUCUCACCUCUGAUUCAUCCUUUCCAAACUGACCUCAGAGGAACCAGGGACUGAGACACAGCUCAGGAACUGUAACCCUGUCCUGAAACUAACAAUUAUAAUUUGCUUCCCACAAAACUGGAAAAACAGAACCUCAGCUUUCUUUCAUAUUGCCUUGGCUGCCUUCCCUUCAAUGGGGUACAUCUUCUCCAGGUUUUGUUGUGGGAACUGACAAGGCAAAGCUCGCAGCUGGGAAUAUAUUGGCUUCCAUGUUGAUAUUACAGAACUUAAGAAAAAGGUUAAGGAAUGAAACUAGUAUUUUAAUUCACAGAGAAAGUGUGUUCCAAAGUCCUCUGAAAUCAGUGGACUGAAUCCCACCAACGUCACCAAGUACUGGCUUAAGGCCUUAGUAAAUACAAUAUUUAUAAAGGAAUCAUUGUACGUUGAUGGUGAAAAAUAAAAGAUGUCUCAAUAAUUCAGAAACCACAAUUGAGGAAGGAGUAGAGGCAAAGACUGAGGCAAUGAUUGCUAGAGGUGAAGACUGAAAACACAUGGAUGUUAUACCAAAGUAGGUGUGGAAAGGAAUUUUAAAGAUAUAAAAGUUAGAUUGAAAUUGGUCUGGGAUCACCUUCUGUUCAAGUGUGGUAUUGUACUCUGAUGUGCUUCUUAUUCCUUGAAACACAAUAAUUUCAAGGAAUACACAAUAGUUUCAAAUUUGCCUUUGCAAAUUUCUUUAUCCUUAGCUGAUAUUGACGACAUAUUUUCUUUACUGCAGCUGCACUGUGCACCCUGCUAAAUUAACACUUUGGUUCACAGAAUCUGCUCAAGAAGAAUUCUCCCAGUCUUUUCAGUCCUUCAGUUUGUAGGCAUGAACACAUCCAAACACACUGACACCACAGCCCUUGUGCAGAGAAGCAACAAUGAGCUUCUUUUCAGUAGGAAAAUGUCAGCAGACUGCAGCGUACCGCGAGUUUCCAGCAGGGAGCAGCAUUUAUUCAUUUGUGAAGGAGAAGCUCCAGCCUCAAAAGGACCAGACACCCGAAGCUGAAAUACAAACUCAGAAACACUUGCUUAAGAAGCAAUGUUUGCAGAUGGAUGGACAGCUAGCAGUGUGAGGGGUGAAGCAGCAAGGGCAGGUUAAACACUUGGCACAAGGCCUCACCCAUCCUCUUCAUCUGCCUGAUGCCUCUGCAAGCAUGGCUUGGUAUUUAGGACUAGGGAAGUUGGAGGCUCAGAGGCAGUGCCAGCAGAUGAGCUGGAUCAAAAUAUUCCCAUUUAAGGAAAAAUUUUCAUCAAAAAUUUCAGUGUUAUCCCUGGCUCGGAAUUAUUACUUAAGGUACUGGAAACUCGGAUUAAGGUCUCGCUAAUAAUGCUUGCAUAAUAUUAUCACAAUCCGAAGAAUAUCGCAUAUUGUUUUAUAUAUAGCAUAUAGGCUACUGUCUGUUUUGAAAGCUUUCAGUUUUAAAAUUUCUCUUCUAAAGAUGUUUCUUAUCAUGAUAUGUUAACAAUUUCAAAUCCACAGUCUCAGAAUGUCACAGCUUUGAAAUCAGCCUCCACAGAGAUAGUCAAGCUGUGAACAAGUACAAAAGAGAAUAUUUUAGUACUUAAAACCUAGUAAAAAAUCCUGUUCACUGCUUAAGCGAAUUUCUAUUAAAAAUAACUUUAUAAAAACCAUAUACCUCACUGACAGCAUUUGUGUUAUUUCUGGAAUUCUUCCUGCCUAUCCUUAAGUACCAGCUCUGCACAGCAGCCUCCUGCUGCUGUUCCCUGAGAUCAGCUGUGUCCCAGUGGUGCAGUCUCAGAGUGGGUGAAUCAGUCCAUGCAGAGUUAGGUAACUACUGCAGUCUGUAGCCAAUACCCAAAUUGGCUUUAAACCUCAGGCUAGAUUACAAGAGAGCUAGAACACCAUGUACUUGUGUGAUCCUCUUCAGGAUCCUGGGACUCUCAGGGUGUGCCACUGGCACCUCAGGCUUUCAGUCCCUGAGUUAAGAUGACAGCAAGUUUCAUCCUACCUCUAGCUAAAAUAUUAUAUAGCUUUCUACUACCUUGGUCUUCUCUGCAGUCAGAAUUCACAUAGUCACAAAUUAAUUUAAAUUAAAUUUUAUAGAUACACUCACUUUUCUUUAAUCACAUUUUUUCUCUUCAAAUUGGGGCUAAAGAUUUGUUUUAGUAAGAUUAUUAGGAACAUUCAGUUGUCUUAAGUAUGUAUUUGCUUGUCUUUAUUUGCCUAGAUUAAUCUGCAAAGUAUAAGAUUACUUUGUCUAAAUUUAACUUUACAUGUCCUAGAUUCAUGUUUGGUUCUAAGAUAAUAGCAACAUUCCUGUAACAUUUUUUUACUCCUCAAAGUACUUUAUCCUUUUAGCAGUAACUCCAGAUUAAUGUAGAUUUCUUCACAGGCAUUUUAGAAUAGUUAAACUGCAUAUAUAACUGCUUCUCUGUAUGAGAAGCCCAAAGCCAGUACCAACAGAGUAUUUUGAUUAGUUUGAAAACCGGUAGACUUAGUAUUAAAUUCCUUUUAUAGUUCAACUUUGAGAAGUAGAUCUAUUGCUACAGAAGAUUCUCCAAAAAGCAUCAGCCAAUACUUCUUAAAUGGCAGAAACUCGUCAACACUGGUAUUAGGAAGUGACUAAUGUACCUUGGCAAAUCUCUCUCUUAAUUUGUAAUGUGGAAAACACAUAUAAAUACCUGAAUUACCUGUGAGGCCUGUGAACAGUAGGCUAACAUGUGGCUUGAAAGUGGUUGGGAGCAAGUGGCACAUUUGUGACAAGCAAGGGAAUAAUCAUUCUGGGUGGAUGCCAAGUCCAGCCCAGUGCCUCGUCUCCAUCAGACAGAGACAGAGAUUUUGCAGAUUGCUGAGGAAGAGCAUAGGAGAAGCACAAGGAUCAAGUUUUACAUGCUCAAACAUUCUCACAGUCUUCAGCAUCUGAUAGCUGGGAACCUUUCUGAGGAAGAGUCAUUGUCUCUGUAUCUUCAAAUUUAUUUUCUUAAAGAAUAGAUCCAGCUUCUCCGUGAAGUCAUGGGAACUACAUUCUUAGUCUCUGGUGGCAAGGAGUUCCCCAGUUCCCUCACACCCUGAGCAAUGAGCUGGCACCCUUUGUCCUGGACUCAUCACAUGCUAGCUUCAUUUGAUAUCUCCUAUUACUGCACCAGGAGAGAAGUCAAAAUGUGUCCACCUACUGCUCUUGGAGAUCCCUUUACUCUCCACUGCUCCGUGGUCUCCUUAGGAAGCUGCAGACACCUAGCUGAUCCUUCACAGGCUGUGAUCAGACACUAAGAAAAGGACAGCCAAGGACACUGACUUUCCUCAGGGCUCCCAAAGCCGUUGGACUAUGACCAUGACCAGCCCCUAUGGAUCUGUGCAGGAGUCAAGCCUUGAGGAGCCCCAGGAGCCCCACUGCCCAAGCUGCACAAAACUUCUCUUCGCUUGCGGCAUGUGCUGCCUUGUGGUGUGGUAAUGGCUGAACUCGAUUUAAAUAAACCACAGCCUAGCCACA
rnacentral:lncRNA from 1 species